rnacentral:tRNA from 3 species
GGACACUUGGCAGACAUGGUGUAUGCGCAGGACUGAAAAUCCUGAGAAUGUGGUUCGAGUCCACGAGUGUCCACGA